CUGCUCCCCUUCAGCAGCACAUAUACUAAAAAUGUAAUGAUACAGAGAAAAUUAGCAUAGGCCUUGUACAAACACAAUCUGUAAAUUCAUGAGGUUCCAUAUUUUCAU
ensembl:snRNA U6 U6 spliceosomal RNA